rnacentral:rRNA from 1 species
UACGUAGGGUGCAAGCGUUGUCCGGAAUUAUUGGGCGUAAAGAGCUCGUAGGCGGUCUGUCGCGUCUGCUGUGAAAACUCGGGGCUUAACCCCGGGCGUGCAGUGGAUACGGGCUGGCUAGAGGCAGGCAGGGGAGAACGGAAUUCCCGGUGUAGCGGUGAAAUGCGUAGAUAUCGGAAGAACACCAGUGGCGAAAGCGGCUUCCUGGUCCAGCACCGACGUUCAGGCACGAAAGCGUGGGGAGCAAACAGG